UAGCUCACUAGUCGAGUGACACUGCGCCGAAAAUGUACCGGGGCUAAACAUAUUACCGAAGCUGUGGAUUGUCCUUUGGACAAUGGUAGGAGAGCGUUCUAAGGGCGUUGAAGCAUGAUCGUAAGGACAUGUGGAGCGCUUAGAAGUGAGAAUGCCGGUGUGAGUAGCGAAAGACGGGUGAGAAUCCCGUCCACCGAUUGACUAAGGUUUCCAGAGGAAGGCUCGUCCGCUCUGGGUUAGUCGGGUCCUAAGCUGAGGCCGACAGGCGUAGGCGAUGGAUAACAGGUUGAUAUUCCUGUACCACCUAUAAUCGUUUUAAUCGAUGGGGGGACGCAGUAGGAUAGGCGAAGCGUGCGAUUGGAUUGCACGUCUAAGCAGUAAGGCUGAGUAUUAGGCAAAUCCGGUACUCGUUAAGGCUGAGCUGUGAUGGGGAGAAGACAUUGAGUCUUCGAGUCGUUGAUUUCACACUGCCGAGAAAAGCCUCUAGAUAGAAAAUAGGUGCCCGUACCGCAAACCGACACAGGUAGUCAAGAUGAGAAUUCUAAGGUGAGCGAGCGAACUCUCGUUAAGGAACUCGGCAAAAUGACCCCGUAACUUCGGGAGAAGGGGUGCUCUUUAGGGUUAACGCCCAGAAGAGCCGCAGUGAAUAGGCCCAAGCGACUGUUUAUCAAAAACACAGGUCUCUGCUAAACCGUAAGGUGAUGUAUAGGGGCUGACGCCUGCCCGGUGCUGGAAGGUUAAGAGGAGUGGUUAGCUUCUGCGAAGCUACGAAUCGAAGCCCCAGUAAACGGCGGCCGUAACUAUAACGGUCCUAAGGUAGCGAAAUUCCUUGUCGGGUAAGUUCCGACCCGCACGAAAGGCGUAACGAUUUGGGCACUGUCUCAACGAGAGACUCGGUGAAAUCAUAGUACCUGUGAAGAUGCAGGUUACCCGCGACAGGACGGAAAGACCCCGUGGAGCUUUACUGUAGCCUGAUAUUGAAAUUCGGCACAGCUUGUACAGGAUAGGUAGGAGCCUUUGAAACGUGAGCGCUAGCUUACGUGGAGGCGCUGGUGGGAUACUACCCUAGCUGUGUUGGCUUUCUAACCCGCACCACUUAUCGUGGUGGGAGACAGUGUCAGGCGGGCAGUUUGACUGGGGCGGUCGCCUCCUAAAAGGUAACGGAGGCGCUCAAAGGUUCCCUCAGAAUGGUUGGAAAUCAUUCAUAGAGUGUAAAGGCAUAAGGGAGCUUGACUGCGAGACCUACAAGUCGAGCAGGGUCGAAAGACGGACUUAGUGAUCCGGUGGUUCCGCAUGGAAGGGCCAUCGCUCAACGGAUAAAAGCUACCCCGGGGAUAACAGGCUUAUCUCCCCCAAGAGUUCACAUCGACGGGGAGGUUUGGCACCUCGAUGUCGGCUCAUCGCAUCCUGGGGCUGUAGUCGGUCCCAAGGGUUGGGCUGUUCGCCCAUUAAAGCGGUACGCGAGCUGGGUUCAGAACGUCGUGAGACAGUUCGGUCCCUAUCCGUCGUGGGCGUAGGAAAUUUGAGAGGAGCUGUCCUUAGUACGAGAGGACCGGGAUGGACAUACCUCUGGUGUACCAGUUGUCGUGCCAACGGCAUAGCUGGGUAGCUAUGUGUGGACGGGAUAAGUGCUGAAAGCAUCUAAGCAUGAAGCCCCCCUCAAGAUGAGAUUUCCCAACUUCGGUUAUAAGAUCCCUCAAAGAUGAUGAGGUUAAUAGGUUCGAGGUGGAAGCAUGGUGACAUGUGGAGCUGACGAAUACUAAUCGAUCGAAGACUUAAUCAA
rnacentral:rRNA from 1 species